UCCAUACCUUAUAUUACAUCCAGUCCUUGUGACUCCAAUACUAUUAGGUCUAAGGGAAACACGUAAUUACCCAUCCUCAAAGGUAUCCGAUCACACCUUAGGCUAGCCAUAUAUUCUGCUCCUGGCGAGGUUACUAACAUGGGUGACCUAAGGGCUUGGGUUGGCAGGUUAUACUUAUCCACAAAUCCGCUUCAUAUGUAUG
rnacentral:lncRNA from 1 species